rnacentral:snRNA from 1 species
AUCGCUUCUCGGCCUUUUGGCUAAGAUCAAGUGUAGUAUCAUUCUAUCACUACCCACUUCAAUGCAAAUUUUGUAUUCUUUUUCCUAAAGGGGGCCCUUAACAUUGGACUGGCCCUGCCUUAC